AGUGAACGCUGGCGGUAGGCCUAACACAUGCAAGUCGAACGGCAGCACAGUAAGAGCUUGCUCUUACGGGUGGAGAGUGGCGGACGGGUGAGGAAUACAUCGGAAUCUACUUUUUCGUGGGGGAUAACGUAGGGAAACUUACGCUAAUACCGCAUACGACCUACGGGUGAAAGCAGGGGAUCUUCGGACCUUGCCCGAUUGAAUGAGCCGAUGUCGGAUUAGCUAGUUGGCGGGGUAAAGGCCCACCAAGGCGACGAUCCGUAGCUGGUCUGAGAGGAUGAUCAGCCACACUGGAACUGAGACACGGUCCAGACUACUACGGGAGGCAGCAGUGGGGAAUAUUGGACAAUGGGCGCAAGCCUGAUCCAGCCAUACCGCGUGGGUGAAGAAGGCCUUCGGGUUGUAAAGCCCUUUUGUUGGGAAAGAAAAGCAGCAGGUUAAUACCCCGCUGUUCUGACGGUACCGAAAGAAUAAGCACCGGCUAACUUCGUG
rnacentral:rRNA from 1 species